UGAGGAAGUAACAUUUCAGCAGAGGUAAUUGAGUAAGAAGAGGAAGCCAGCCAGCAAGACCUAGACAAGAGCAUUCCAGACAUAGGGAACAGCAGGUACAAAGGCCCUGAGGGAGGGACAGUGUCUGGAUUACAGCACUAACUCCAGGGGUCAUGCGAUAAAUCUAGCCAGAGAGGUGGGCAAGGGCAGAUCACAGGUAGAGCUUUAUUGGUCUCAAAUGGUUUGAAUCUGAGUCUGAGAAGCCACUCAUGGCUUCUAAGCAAGGAGUAAUAUAACAUGAUUUACACUUUAAAAUGUCGCCAUGGCUAAUCUGGAGAAUGGAGUUGCAGGAGGCAGGAGAGCCAGAACUAGGAAACUAUUGCCAUGUUGCCCUGAGCUGUCAGACAGGAGAUACUUCAGGAGCUCUUGAAAUGCACCUAGGGCAGUUUGCCCUCCAACUGCCUCCAGAAUUUUGUGCUCUCCAAGUCUUAUGUCUAUUCUGUUGCCUGCUGUUAGCCAAAGCCACUUACUGCUACUGAGGAUGAUUGUCACAGCCUGAACCUGUCCCCUGGUAGAUCCAGCUCCCUAACAGAUAUUUUCAAAAUGUCCCAGUCCACCUAAAAUUCUACAUGUGGAAAAUUAAACUCUCCCUAAGCCUGCCCCAACUCUGUUGCUCAUUUCAGCAACAUUUAUUCACCCAGAUGGCCAGACAAAAAAUCUGGGAUUCACUCUGGAGUCUUGUCUCCCUUUCUUCUCCCCACCUUUAUCAGAUCACAAGUCUAUCCAAGUCUGCUCUUUUACUGUCUCUUGAUUCAGUUUCUUCUUCUCCAUUACUAAGGUUACUCCUACAAUGUAGGCACUUAUUUCUCUACUGAAUUAUUGCAACUGCUCCCUACCUGGUAUCCUAGUGUCUGGUCCUCAUUUUGGCCGCAUUACAACUACAUCCAAAUGGAACUUUCAGAAUUUAAGACAUAACCCAGCCUUGUUUUCCACUUUAAAACCUUCCAUGGCUCUUCAUUGCCUAUGAAGUACCGUUUAAAACCUUUACCAUACGAAGUCUCCAAGAUCCAGGCCCUGCCUCUCUGCCUACUCACAUCUCUAGCCACAUAAACUGUUCCCCAAAGGAACCAGAUUCUUUCAUAACGACCCAAUCCCCAAGACUCACUCAAUGUCACAUCUUCAGGAAGCCUUGUCUUACUCUCACAAGUAGAAUUGUGCAUAGCCCAUUCUGUGAUUAGACAGGGAUUUAUACCUUCCUUUAGUGCGACACUAAUUUACGUAUCACUGUAAGUAUAUGUUUGCCUCUUUACAUGUUCAUCUUGGUUUCUCCAGCAUUUAGUAUUAUGCAUGGGGCAUAGUAGGCACUUAAGAAUUAUUUGUUGCCGGGCGCGGUGGCUCAAGCCUGUAAUCCCAGCACUUUGGGAGGCCGAGACGGGUGGAUCACGAGGUCAGGAGAUCGAGACCAUCCUGGCUAACACGGUGAAACCCCAUCUCUACUAAAAAAUACAAAAAACUAGCCGGGCGCUACUCCGGAGGCUGAGGCAGGAGAAUGGCGUGAACCUGGGAGGCGGAGCUUGCAGUGAGCUGAGAUCCGGCCACUGCACUCCAGCCUGGGUGACAGAGCGAGACUCCGUCUCAAAAAAAAAAAAAAAAAAAAAAAAA
rnacentral:lncRNA from 1 species